rnacentral:rRNA from 1 species
UACGGAGGGAGCUAGCGUUGUUCGGAAUUACUGGGCGUAAAGCGCACGUAGGCGGCUUUGUAAGUUAGAGGUGAAAGCCCGGGGCUCAACCCCGGAAUUGCCUUUAAGACUGCAUCGCUUGAAUCCGGGAGAGGUGAGUGGAAUUCCGAGUGUAGAGGUGAAAUUCGUAGAUAUUCGGAAGAACACCAGUGGCGAAGGCGGCUCACUGGACCGGUAUUGA